AUGACAUUGAGAAAAAAACUGAGCAAGGAGUUAGGGAUGUGUCUCAGCAGGCAGAGUGCCAGCCUCAAAUUUACAAAGCCUGGGUUCAAUACCCAGAUUCGCAGGACAGUGUGGUGGUGCAGGCCUGUGAUCCUAUCACUCAGGAGGUGGGAGUCAGUGAGUCAGAAGUUCACAGUCACCCUCCAAUACAAAGUUUGAAAGCCUGCCUGGGCUAGAGACCCCAUCUCAAAACAAAACCUGAAGGCCUAACAAAGAAACCCUUCAAAGCAAAGACUGAGCUUAGCUGUGGACAAGUCCACAAAUGUGGAAGUGGGUCAAAGAGACAUUCAACCAGGUGCUGGGAAACGAGGAUUUCGGACUUCAGUCCGAUGCUGAAAGGGAGACCAGAGAAUCAUCCGCGUGGAGGAGAACCUCAGGAGAGAGCAGGCAUCUGAGGACUGAGCCUGGAGACACACCUCCUCUUUGGAGUGAGGAGCAGGAAGGAACCAGUCUGGGUGGGCCACAGCGCCAGUUCAGGAAGAAGUCGAAGGCAGAGCAGGUGACCGCUGUCUUCCAGGUGUGAUUGUACAACAGACCCAUGGACCACAGGCAGUCAGCUGGAGCAACAUAGUGCCAAUAGCCACGGAGUCACACAAGGGACAAGCUAAGCGAGACUUACCUUCAGAAGGAACAUAAAGAGUGCCGUCCACAGAUGGAGAAGAAUCACUGUUUCUGACUGGACAAAGCAGGAGGAAGUGAAA